rnacentral:tRNA from 1 species
AAUCCGUAGACGUUAAAAGUCGUGAGGAUUCAAGUCCCUCUAUCCCCA